GAUGAACGCUAGCGAUAUGCUUAACACAUGCAAGUCGAGGGGCCGCUUGGUCUUAGCUUUCUCAGGCUGAUGGCGACCGGCGCACGGGUGCGUAACGCGUAUGCAACUUGCCUCACAGGGGGGGAUAACCCAUCGAUGGACGGACUAAUACCUCGUACACUCUAUUUUGUGUUUCCUGUGUAGAGAUAGUGAAAUUCUCUGUGAUAUAGGCAUGCUUCGCAUUAGCUAGUUGGUGAGGUAACGGCUCGCAAAGCCCACGAUGGGUACGGGAACUGAGAGAUGGAACCCGCAGACUGGGACUGAGACACGGACCAGACGCCUACGGGAGGCAGCAGUGAGGAAGAUAGGGCAAUGGGCGAGAGCCUGAACCAGCCAAGUCGCGUGAAGGAUGACUGGCUUAUGGAUUGUAAUCUUCUGUUAAACGGGAAUAACAAGAGGGAAGGGUGGCUCCGUGAAUGUACCGUAUGAAUAAGCAUCGGCUAACUCCGUG
rnacentral:rRNA from 1 species